GCCCGUAUGAUCUAGUGGUUUGAGCAUUGGACUAUAAAUCUGGAAACCAGGGUUCAAUUCCCAGCUUGGCCA